UUUGCCGGCCAUAGGGCGCGGGUCCCACCCGAUCCCAUUCCGAACUCGGAAGUUAAACCGCGCUCCGUUCCCGGCGGUAGUGUGGUCUUCGGCCACGCGAAACCGGGAAAGCUGGCAGCC
rnacentral:rRNA from 1 species